GUCGGGAUAGCUCAGUCGGUA
rnacentral:tRNA from 2 species